ensembl:lncRNA
AUGAAAGUGGCUAUUAAAAUCAUCAGACAGGACGUUCCUCUUGUGAAGUCCACUCACAGCAUUAAAGUCAACGUGACUGGUGUUGAAUUCAAGCCUGAAAUCACUAGAGUUUCUAUAAAUUCUGUCAUGAAAGUGGCUAUUAAAAUCAUCAGACAGGACGUUCCUCUUGUGAAGUCCACUCACAGAAAUGCAUGUUCAGUGAAGCUCCUCCCAAACAAUCACACAUUCAGCAAUAAAUGCUGGAAUAUUCUUGUCAGAGCAUCAAAUCACCAGGAAGAGCUGAAAUCUGCAAAGACUGAGUUUAUUAAAGAGGACAGAGAGAAGAUGAGAGAUCCAGAGCCCUGCAAAAUCAAACGCACUGAAGAACAAACAGGUUGGUGUUUAUUCUUCAUUUUUCAUUAGUAAUGCUGACAGUAAUGCUGACAGCUCGAUUAUGACAAAAAUCAUAAUCAUGAUUUUUUUUUUGGUCAAUAUUGUAUUCACGAUUAUUUAAAUGAUUAUUAAUGGGCCAUAUGACCACCACUUUAUAUGAAAAAUUAAUUUAAAGAUAGUGAUGUAUAUCAAAUAUAUGUUUUCUGUAAAUAAGGUUGCUAUGACAUCUAGAUUUUAGAGACCAGCGAAAUGUAACAGUUCUCA